rnacentral:misc_RNA from 1 species
UGGCUCUGGCAUCGAUGAAGAACGCAGCGAAAUGCGAUAAGUAAUGUGAAUUGCAGAAUUCAGUGAAUCAUCGAAUCUUUGAACGCACAUUGCGCCCGCCAGCAUUCUGGCGGGCAUGCCUGUCCGAGCGUCAUUUCAACCCUCAGAUCCCCCUCUAGGGGGGGAGCUGGUGUUGGGGAUCGGCCCGCCUCCGCGCGGCGCCGUCCCCCAAAUACAGUGGCGGUCUCGCUGCAGCCUCCCCUGCGUAGUAGCAACACUCGCAUGCGGAGCGCGGCGCGGCCACGCCGUAAAACCCCCGACUUUCUGAACGUUGACCUCGGAUCAGGUAGGAAUACCCGCUGA